GCGAGUGAGUAUAUUUUGUUGACUGAUGGGGGAGAACCUGAGUAUUAUGAAGAGGCCAUGGAAAAUGAGCAAAAGGAUGAGUAGGUUAAAGCUAUGCAGAAUGAAAUGAAAUCUCUACAUGAAAAUCAUGCCUUUGAGUUGGUAAAGUUGCCUAAAGGCAAGAAAGCAUUGAAGGACAAGUGGGUGUAUAGGACAAAGUAUGAAGAACAUAGGUAAGAUUUCGGUACAA
rnacentral:lncRNA from 1 species